rnacentral:rRNA from 1 species
GACGAACGCUGGCGGCGUGCUUAACACAUGCAAGUCGAACGGAAAGGCCCUGCUUUUGUGGGGUGCUCGAGUGGCGAACGGGUGAGUAACACGUGAGUAACCUGCCCUUGACUUUGGGAUAACUUCAGGAAACUGGGGCUAAUACCGGAUAGGAGCUCCUGCUGCAUGGUGGGGGUUGGAAAGUUUCGGCGGUUGGGGAUGGACUCGCGGCUUAUCAGCUUGUUGGUGGGGUAGUGGCUUACCAAGGCUUUGACGGGUAGCCGGCCUGAGAGGGUGACCGGCCACAUUGGGACUGAGAUACGGCCCAGACUCCUACGGGUGGCAGCAGUGGGGAAUAUUGCACAAUGGGCGGAAGCCUGAUGCAGCAACGCCGCGUGCGGGAGGACGGCCUUCGGGUUGUAAACCGCUUUCGCCUGUGACGAAGCGUGAGUGACGGUAAUGGGUAAAGAAGCACCGGCUAACUACGU